rnacentral:rRNA from 1 species
AACAUCUAAGUACCCCGAGGAAAAGAAAUCAACCGAGAUUCCCCCAGUAGCGGCGAGCGAACGGGGAGCAGCCCAGAGCCUGAAUCAGUGUGUGUGUUAGUGGAAGCGUCUGGAAAGGCGCGCGAUACAGGGUGACAGCCCCGUACACAAAAAUGCACAUGCUGUGAGCUCGAUGAGUAGGGCGGGACACGUGGUAUCCUGUCUGAAUAUGGGGGGACCAUCCUCCAAGGCUAAAUACUCCUGACUGACCGAUAGUGAACCAGUACCGUGAGGGAAAGGCGAAAAGAACCCCGGCGAGGGGAGUGAAAAAGAACCUGAAACCGUGUACGUACAAGCAGUGGGAGCACGCUUAGGCGUGUGACUGCGUACCUUUUGUAUAAUGGGUCAGCGACUUAUAUUCUGUAGCAAGGUUAACCGAAUAGGGGAGCCGAAGGGAAACCGAGUCUUAACUGGGCGUUAAGUUGCAGGGUAUAGACCCGAAACCCGGUGAUCUAGCCAUGGGCAGGUUGAAGGUUGGGUAACACUAACUGGAGGACCGAACCGACUAAUGUUGAAAAAUUAGCGGAUGACUUGUGGCUGGGGGUGAAAGGCCAAUCAAACCGGGAGAUAGCUGGUUCUCCCCGAAAGCUAUUUAGGUAGCGCCUCGUGAAUUCAUCUCCGGGGGUAGAGCACUGUUUCGGCAAGGGGGUCAUCCCGACUUACCAACCCGAUGCAAACUGCGAAUACCGGAGAAUGUUAUCACGGGAGACACACGGCGGGUGCUAACGUCCGUCGUGAAGAGGGAAACAACCCAGACCGCCAGCUAAGGUCCCAAAGUCAUGGUUAAGUGGGAAACGAUGUGGGAAGGCCCAGACAGCCAGGAUGUUGGCUUAGAAGCAGCCAUCAUUUAAAGAAAGCGUAAUAGCUCACUGGUCGAGUCGGCCUGCGCGGAAGAUGUAACGGGGCUAAACCAUGCACCGAAGCUGCGGCAGCGACGCUGAUGCGUUGUUGGGUAGGGGAGCGUUCUGUAAGCCUGCGAAGGUGUGCUGUGAGGCAUGCUGGAGGUAUCAGAAGUGCGAAUGCUGACAUAAGUAACGAUAAAGCGGGUGAAAAGCCCGCUCGCCGGAAGACCAAGGGUUCCUGUCCAACGUUAAUCGGGGCAGGGUGAGUCGACCCCUAAGGCGAGGCCGAAAGGCGUAGUCGAUGGGAAACAGGUUAAUAUUCCUGUACUUGGUGUUACUGCGAAGGGGGGACGGAGAAGGCUAUGUUGGCCGGGCGACGGUUGUCCCGGUUUAAGCGUGUAGGCUGGUUUUCCAGGCAAAUCCGGAAAAUCAAGGCUGAGGCGUGAUGACGAGGCACUACGGUGCUGAAGCAACAAAUGCCCUGCUUCCAGGAAAAGCCUCUAAGCAUCAGGUAACAUCAAAUCGUACCCCAAACCGACACAGGUGGUCAGGUAGAGAAUACCAAGGCGCUUGAGAGAACUCGGGUGAAGGAACUAGGCAAAAUGGUGCCGUAACUUCGGGAGAAGGCACGCUGAUAUGUAGGUGAAGUCCCUCGCGGAUGGAGCUGAAAUCAGUCGAAGAUACCAGCUGGCUGCAACUGUUUAUUAAAAACACAGCACUGUGCAAACACGAAAGUGGACGUAUACGGUGUGACGCCUGCCCGGUGCCGGAAGGUUAAUUGAUGGGGUUAGCCGCAAGGCGAAGCUCUUGAUCGAAGCCCCGGUAAACGGCGGCCGUAACUAUAACGGUCCUAAGGUAGCGAAAUUCCUUGUCGGGUAAGUUCCGACCUGCACGAAUGGCGUAAUGAUGGCCAGGCUGUCUCCACCCGAGACUCAGUGAAAUUGAACUCGCUGUGAAGAUGCAGUGUACCCGCGGCAAGACGGAAAGACCCCGUGAACCUUUACUAUAGCUUGACACUGAACAUUGAGCCUUGAUGUGUAGGAUAGGUGGGAGGCUUAGAAGUGUGGACGCCAGUCUGCAUGGAGCCGACCUUGAAAUACCACCCUUUAAUGUUUGAUGUUCUAACGUUGACCCGUAAUCCGGGUUGCGGACAGUGUCUGGUGGGUAGUUUGACUGGGGCGGUCUCCUCCUAAAGAGUAACGGAGGAGCACGAAGGUUGGCUAAUCCUGGUCGGACAUCAGGAGGUUAGUGCAAUGGCAUAAGCCAGCUUGACUGCGAGCGUGACGGCGCGAGCAGGUGCGAAAGCAGGUCAUAGUGAUCCGGUGGUUCUGAAUGGAAGGGCCAUCGCUCAACGGAUAAAAGGUACUCCGGGGAUAACAGGCUGAUACCGCCCAAGAGUUCAUAUCGACGGCGGUGUUUGGCACCUCGAUGUCGGCUCAUCACAUCCUGGGGCUGAAGUAGGUCCCAAGGGUAUGGCUGUUCGCCAUUUAAAGUGGUACGCGAGCUGGGUUUAGAACGUCGUGAGACAGUUCGGUCCCUAUCUGCCGUGGGCGCUGGAGAACUGAGGGGGGCUGCUCCUAGUACGAGAGGACCGGAGUGGACGCAUCACUGGUGUUCGGGUUGUCAUGCCAAUGGCACUGCCCGGUAGCUAAAUGCGGAAGAGAUAAGUGCUGAAAGCAUCUAAGCACGAAACUUGCCCCGAGAUGAGUUCUCCCUGACUCCUUGAGAGUCCUGAAGGAACGUUGAAGACGACGACGUUGAUAGGCCGGGUGUGUAAGCGCAGCGAUGCGUUGAGCUAACCGGUACUAAUGAACCGUGAGGCUUAACCUU